rnacentral:lncRNA from 1 species
CCAUCUAGUCGGGACUCACGAUAGAGAGAUUGAAUCACACAUGAACUACACCUUGAGGUUCUUUUUCGAUUCUACUAGGUUGCCACUACAUACUGCUAUGUAUCACUGGUGGAUAAUGAAAACUCAUUAGGAUUGCUCAGGAUCGAUAAUCUUUGAUGAGUUAGAGUGAAAUUAUUCUGAUCCAUUGAAAAGAGUUUCAAUAAUACUAUAAUAGAGAUCAUUGUUUAUUUUACUAUCAGAUAAAAUUGAACCUAUGAGAUCACACAACAAAGGGAUUAGAUCUAGAAUACGUAAUUGGGCUUAUGACGUAUCAAUUGGAUUUAGAGAAAUUCUAUUGGAUUC